AUUGAACGCUGGCGGAAUGCUUUACACAUGCAAGUCGAACGGUAGAGGGGGCAACCCCUUGAGAGUGGCGAACGGGUGAGUAAUAUAUCGGAACGUGCCCAGUCGUGGGGAUAACGUAGCGAAAGUUACGCUAAUACCGCAUACGAUCUAAGGAUGAAAGCGGGGGAUCGCAAGACCUCGCGCGAUUGGAGCGGCCGAUAUCAGAUUAGGUAGUUGGUGAGGUAAAGGCUCACCAAGCCAACGAUCUGUAGCUGGUCUGAGAGGACGACCAGCCACACUGGAACUGAGACACGGUCCAGACUCCUACGGGAGGCAGCAGUGGGGAAUUUUGGACAAUGGACGCAAGUCUGAUCCAGCCAUUCCGCGUGCAGGAUGAAGGCCCUCGGGUUGUAAACUGCUUUUGUACGGAACGAAAAGGUUUCUAUUAAUACUAGGAGCUCAUGACGGUACCGUAAGAAUAAGCACCGGCUAACUACGUGCCAGCA
rnacentral:rRNA from 1 species